GGGUUGUGAGGUUAAGCGACUAAGCGUACACGGUGGAUGCCCUGGCAGUCAGAGGCGAUGAAGGACGUGCUAAUCUGCGAUAAGCGCCGGUAAGGUGAUAUGAACCGUUAUAACCGGCGAUUUCCGAAUGGGGAAACCCAGUGUGACUCGUCACACUAUCAUUAACUGAAUCCAUAGGUUAAUGAGGCGAACCGGGGGAACUGAAACAUCUAAGUACCCCGAGGAAAAGAAAUCAACCGAGAUUCCCCCAGUAGCGGCGAGCGAACGGGGAGGAGCCCAGAGCCUGAAUCAGCAUGUGUGUUAGUGGAAGCGUCUGGAAAGGCGCGCGAUACAGGGUGACAGCCCCGUACACAAAAGCGCAUGUGUUGUGAGCUCGAUGAGUAGGGCGGGACACGUGGUAUCCUGUCUGAAUAUGGGGGGACCAUCCUCCAAGGCUAAAUACUCCUGACUGACCGAUAGUGAACCAGUACCGUGAGGGAAAGGCGAAAAGAACCCCGGCGAGGGGAGUGAAAAAGAACCUGAAACCGUGUACGUACAAGCAGUGGGAGCCCCACCACUAAGCCAGUGGUGAACUCCACAUACGCAUCCUUUGCUGAAGGUGCGGUUAACGGAGCGCAAGCGACGUUCAACCUCAAAAGAAGCAGAGGGGGCUUAGUGGUGGGGUGACUGCGUACCUUUUGUAUAAUGGGUCAGCGACUUAUAUUCUGUAGCAAGGUUAACCGCAUAGGGGAGCCGGAGGGAAACCGAGUCUUAAUUGGGCGUUAAGUUGCAGGGUAUAGACCCGAAACCCGGUGAUCUAGCCAUGGGCAGGUUGAAGGUUGGGUAACACUAACUGGAGGACCGAACCGACUAAUGUUGAAAAAUUAGCGGAUGACCUGUGGCUGGGGGUGAAAGGCCAAUCAAACCGGGAGAUAGCUGGUUCUCCCCGAAAGCUAUUUAGGUAGCGCCUCGUGAAUUCAUCUCCGGGGGUAGAGCACUGUUUCGGCUAGGGGGCCAUCCCGGCUUACCAACCCGAUGCAAACUGCGAAUACCGGAGAAUGUUAUCACGGGAGACACACGGCGGGUGCUAACGUCCGUCGUGAAGAGGGAAACAACCCAGACCGCCAGCUAAGGUCCCAAAGUCAUGGUUAAGUGGGAAACGAUGUGGGAAGGCCCAGACAGCCAGGAUGUUGGCUUAGAAGCAGCCAUCAUUUAAAGAAAGCGUAAUAGCUCACUGGUCGAGUCGGCCUGCGCGGAAGAUGUAACGGGGCUAAACCAUGCACCGAAGCUGCGGCAGCGA
rnacentral:rRNA from 1 species